rnacentral:rRNA from 1 species
GACAGAGGGUGCAAACGUUGUUCGGAAUUACUGGGCGUAAAGCGCGUGUAGGCGGCUCUGCAAGUCGGAUGUGAAAGCCCUCGGCUCAACCCAGGAAGUGCAUUCGAAACUGCAGAGCUGGAGUCCUGGAGAGGAAGGCGGAAUUCUCGGUGUAGAGGUGAAAUUCGUAGAUAUCGAGAGGAACACCGGUGGCGAAGGCGGCCUUCUGGACAGUGACUGACGCUGAGACGCGAAAGCGUGGGGAGCAAACAGG